CUACGGGAGGCACCAGUGAGGAAUAUUGCACAAUGGGGGGAACCCUGAUGCAGCAACGCCGCGUGGAGGAUGACGCAUUUCGGUGUGUAAACUCCUUUUAUAUGUCAAGAAAAUGACGGUAGCAUAUGAAUAAGCGCCGGCUAACUCCGUGCCAGCAGCCGCGGUACUACGGAGGGUGCAAGCGUUACUCGAGAAUCACUGGGCGUAAAGGACGCGUAGGCGGGUUGGAAAGUCAGGUGUGAAAUCCUACAGCUUAACUGUAGAACUGCACUUGAAACUUCUAAUCUAGAGUAUGGGAGGGGGAGAUGGAAUUAGUGGUGUAGGGGUAAAAUCCGUAGAUAUCACUAGGAAUACCUAAAGCGAAGGCGAUCUCCUGGAACAUUACUGACGCUAAGGCGUGAAAGCGUGGGGAGCAAACAGGAUUAGAUACCCGGGUAGUC
rnacentral:rRNA from 1 species